UGUGAUUCCCUUAGUAACUGCGAGUGAAGCGGGAUAAGCCCAUCGUUUAAUCUCCUCGUCCAUAGCGGCGGGGCGAAAUGUAACGGUAUGGAUAGGUUCUCUACCAACAAGGUCUGAUCAAAGUCCUCCGGAUUGAGGUGCCAAAGAGGGUGACAGCCCCGUGUGUGAUUGGACUGAGUUGGGCAUGUGGCCGAUUCCGAGAGUCGGGUUGUUUGGGACUGCAACCUAAAGUAGGUGGUAAACUCCACCCAAGGCUAAAUAUUGACACGAAACCGAUAGCGAACAAGUACUGUGAAGGAAAGUUGAAAAGAACUCUGAAAAGAGAGUUAAAAGUACGUGAAACCGCUAACGGGGAAGCGGAAGGCAGUGUCGAGAUCGAGUGAGUGAGUCUGCCCAAGCACAGAUAGAUGAUUUGAGUUUGAGUGGGCUAGCUUUGCUUGAUGCGUCAGGGCCGUUGGUGUGCGAUGGUUCAAUCGUCAACAUGGCUUUCACAGCAAAAUUUUUGAUUGUGGAUGCGGUUGGUGAUCCGCCUCGUGUGCUGACGUGCGAGUGAGAAGCGUUGGUGAUGUAUUGUCGGUUGGUGCGGUGUGGUGGUUUGCACUGGUCACAGUGUGGCUACGUGUAGACAAGUCAUGUGGUAGUUCAACAACC
rnacentral:rRNA from 1 species